AUUGAACGCUGGCGGCAUGCCUUACACAUGCGAGUCGAACGGUAACAGGUCUUCGGAUGCUGACGAGUGGCGAACGGGUGAGUAAUACAUCGGAACGUGCCCGAGAGUGGGGGAUAACGAGGCGAAAGCUUUGCUAAUACCGCAUACGAUCUCAGGAUGAAAGCAGGGGACCGCAAGGCCUUGCGCUCACGGAGCGGCCGAUGGCAGAUUAGGUAGUUGGUGGGAUAAAAGCUUACCAAGCCGACGAUCUGUAGCUGGUCUGAGAGGACGACCAGCCACACUGGGACUGAGACACGGCCCAGACUCCUACGGGAGGCAGCAGUGGGGAAUUUUGGACAAUGGGCGCAAGCCUGAUCCAGCCAUGCCGCGUGCAGGAUGAAGGCCUUCGGGUUGUAAACUGCUUCUGUACGGAACGAAAAGACUCUGGUUAAUACCUGGGGUCCAUGACGGUACCGUAAGAAUAAGCACCGGCUAACUACGUGCCAGCCGCCGCGGUAAUAC
rnacentral:rRNA from 1 species